rnacentral:rRNA from 1 species
GAUGAACGCUAGCGGCAGGCUUAAUACAUGCAAGUCGUGGGGCAGCAUGGGGUAGCAAUACUCUGAUGGCGACCGGCAAACGGGUGCGGAACACGUACGCAACCUUCCCAAAACUGGUGAAUAGCCCUCCGAAAGGGAGGAUUAAUACACCGUAACAUAACGAAGUGGCAUCACUUUGUUAUUAUAGCUCCGGCGGUUUUGGAUGGGCGUGCGCCUGAUUAGGUAGUUGGCGGGGUAACGGCCCACCAAGCCUACGAUCAGUAACUGGUGUUGGAGAGCACGACCAGUCACACGGGCACUGAGACACGGGCCCGACUCCUACGGGAGGCAGCAGUAAGGAAUAUUGGUCAAUGGACGCAAGUCUGAACCAGCCAUGCCGCGUGAAGGAUGAAGGUCCUCUGGAUUGUAAACUUCUUUUAUCUGGGACGAAAAAAGGGCUUUCUAGCUCACUUGACGGUACCAGAGGAAUAAGCACCGGCUAACUCCAUG